GACGAACGCUGGCGGCGUGCCUAAUACAUGCAAGUCGAACGAGAGCGACCGGUGCUUGCACUGGUCAAUCUAGUGGCGAACGGGUGAGUAACACGUGGGUAACCUGCCCAUCAGAGGGGGAUAACAUCCGGAAACGGAUGCUAAAACCGCAUAGGUCUUCGAACCGCAUGGUUUGAAGAGGAAAAGAGGCGUAAGCUUCUGCUGAUGGAUGGACCCGCGGUGCAUUAGCUAGUUGGUGGGGUAACGGCUCACCAAGGCCGUGAUGCAUAGCCGACCUGAGAGGGUGAUCGGCCACAUUGGGACUGAGACACGGCCCAAACUCCUACGGGAGGCAGCAGUAGGGAAUCUUCCGCAAUGGACGCAAGUCUGACGGAGCAACGCCGCGUGAGUGAAGAAGGUUUUCGGAUCGUAAAACUCUGUUGUUAGAGAAGAACAAGUGCUAGAGUAACUGUUAGCGCCUUGACGGUAUCUAACCAGAAAGCCACGGCUAACUACGUG
rnacentral:rRNA from 1 species